rnacentral:rRNA from 1 species
UGGGGAAUUUUGUCCAAUGGGCGAAAGCCUGACGCAGCAACGCCGCGUGAGGGAUGACGGCCUUCGGGUUGUAAACCUCUUUGUCAGGGAAGCGGUACCUGGCGAAUAAGCCACGGCUAACUACGUGCCAGCAGCCGCGGUAAUACGUAGGUGGCGAGCGUUGUCCGGAUUUACUGGGCGUAAAGAGCGCGCAGGCGGUCGUCCAAGUCGCGUGUGAAACCCCCCGGCUCAACUGGGGAGGGUCACGCGAUACUGAUCGACUCGAAGGCAGGAGAGGGUAGUGGAAUUCCCGGUGUAGUGGUGAAAUGCGUAGAUAUCGGGAGGAACACCAGUGGCGAAGGCGACUACCUGGCCUGUUCUUGACGCUGAGGCGCGAAAGCUAGGGGAGCAAACGGGAUUAGAUACCCUUGUAGU